CCUACGGGAGGCAGCAGUGAGGAAUAUUGGUCAAUGGACGAGAGUCUGAACCAGCCAAGUAGCGUGAAGGAUGACUGCCCUAUGGGUUGUAAACUUCUUUUAUAAAGGAAUAAAACGUGGCAUGUGUGCCUUUUUGCAUGUACUUUAUGAAUAAGGAUCGGCUAACUCCGUGCCAGCAGCCGCGGUAAUACGGAGGGUCCGAGCGUUAUCCGGAUUUAUUGGGUUUAAAGGGAGCGUAGAUGGGUUGUUAAGUCAGUUGCGAAAGUUUGCGGCUCAACCGUAAAAUUGCAAUUGAUACUGGCAGUCUUGAGUACAGUUGAGGUAGGCGGAAUUCGUGGUGUAGCGGUGAAAUGCUUAGAUAUCACGAAGAACCCCGAUUGCGAAGGCAGCUUACUAAACUGUGACUGACAUUGAUGCUCGAAAGUGUGGGUAUCAAACAGGAUUAGAUACCCUAGUAGUC
rnacentral:rRNA from 1 species